rnacentral:misc_RNA from 1 species
GUUGGCUUGUAUGGGCACGUUGGAUCCCUGCUCAGGCAGCGACGGCGUGCCUUGCUAGCCUCUUCAGUUGGCGGCCCAAGUGCGUGUUGGCCUUGGCCGUUCUUGGUUUCCUGUGUUGCAUACCAAUUGCGAGGGCAUUCAUUCGGUUAAAACGUCCCGUUUCUACCUUGUGCUGGGCCUCUUGGGGCUGCGGUACGGGGUGGACCCCAAAGCAUUCGCCGUGUUCCUCUUCCCGUGCGUUCUCAUAUGUUUUCGGGUUGUUGGCCCAUGGCUUCGUGCUUGGUCUCUUGGAUGCGGAAAAUUGAGUGGGCACGAGGCCCCCGGCCCCUAUUUGCCCCGAAACAAAGCAUUCUAUGCUUCGUGCGAACGACGACCGUUGCCGUUUUGGUCAAGUCCCCGUGGCUUCGAUCAUGCGGUGCCGGCGUCGAUGAGGAAUGCUAC